UAUGUAGGGGGCAAGCGUUGUCCGGAAUCAUUGGGCGUAAAGCGCGCGUAGGCGGCCCGAUAAGUCCGCUGUGAAAGUCAAAGGCUCAACCUUUGAAUGCCGGUGGAUACUGUCGGGCUAGAGUCCGGAAGAGGCGAGUGGAAUUCCUGGUGUAGCGGUGGAAUGCGCAGAUAUCAGGAGGAACACCAAUAGCGAAGGCAGCUCGCUGGGACGGUACUGACGCUAAGGCGCGAAAGCGUGGGGAGCGAACAGG
rnacentral:rRNA from 1 species